AAGGAUGACUCCUGAGAACCUAUAAUGUGGUUGGCUGACUUCUUAGAUAAGCAGAAGGGCUGGACAACUGUGUCAAGUCCAGCGCACUGCAGACGGUCUGGUCGUGGUCUAUUGAAACAAGUUCGGCAUCCUCCCCAGAUCCUUGUUACAGAAACAAAGCCCCUGGAGCCUAGCCUCCUGUGGUGUUCGGCCCCAGCUGGAGCCCCGCACUAGAGCGCGUUGGCAUUCUGCUUCGGAGAAGCUGCUUGAAAAUUUCAGCAUAGAAGUUAACAAGGAAAGGAUGGAAUUGGAAGGUCAGAUGUCUGCGUCUGAUUGAAGGGGACCGUCACGCUACUGUCCCCAUUUCUUCCCAGCUAGUUACCAGUGUCCCUGCAACUCAGGAGGAGUUCCCUCGCGAGCCGAUAGGGGGCGCCUUCUCCAUGUUCCUCUGCUGCACCCAGCUUCUGACGAAGGAGAGAGCAGGUGGCAGUCCCAUUGGACAGACACCUGAGCCUCAGAGGCCGUAUCUGACCUGCCUGAAGCCACAGUCCUCAGUACAUCAGUCCUCAGUACAGUUGAGAUCGGAAGUCCCAGCCAAGACAGAAACCCUUUGCCUCAGGAUGGACCCUUUAUGAUUUUGAGGCAGGAUGGAAAGUCAGACAACUUUGGGAACAUGGGAAGAGAAAGGAGAAGCUUCUGGAUGACCUUUCUCACCUGACCUGAGGACCAAGAAUUCCAAAAUGCCUUACACCUUUCUCAUUCCUCGGAUGUAAACCUGGGGAUCUCUAGGGAUCCAUCAGAAACCCCGUUUGCAACAAAAUACAUGGUUUAACUUUUGUAUUAC
rnacentral:sRNA from 1 species